CCAUAGAACUGCCACAGAGCCGCCAGAGUCAGACAUGCUGAAUCUUUACUGCCUUUACAAGGCAUUUAUUUCUAACGACUGUGUUAUCGGUAACUUUGAAAACUGUGAGUAAGCUACUCCACCUACUGGGCAUCUCUUAAAUUACACCAAAGGAUCUAAGGAAGGCGGACAGCGACUUUGGAGAUGAUCUUUAAGAUGCUGGAGCUCAUAAACAUACUCCAUUCCACUUGCCCACUUCGUUCUGAGUGCUGCAAGUGUUUCGCCACUGUGUAUUUCUCUUGUUUACUACCGAGAUCUCAGAAAAUGAUGAUCUCAGCUUUUACUUAAUACUUUUCUAUCUUCCCUUC